GACAGAGGGGGCAAGCGUUGCUCGGAAUUACUGGGCGUAAAGGGCGCGUAGGCGGGAUGGCAAGUCGGUCGUGAAAUCCCUCGGCUCAACCGAGGAACGUCGAUCGAUACUGCUGUUCUUGAGGAUUGCAGAGGAGACUGGAAUUCCCGGUGUAGCGGUGAAAUGUGUAGAGAUGUGGAGGAACACCAGUGGCGAAGGCGGCUUUCUGGUCUGUAACUGACGCUGAGG
rnacentral:rRNA from 1 species